rnacentral:lncRNA from 1 species
GGUGUUUAAGACGUUCGCCAUCAGAGGUAAAUUAUUUCAACUUUUAAUUACUUUAUAAUCAUUAUUCAGAACACUUAUUUUUCUUUUAAAUCUAUAUUAAAAUACAGUUAAAAGAAGCAAUAAAGUUGUAGAUGUACAAAAAUGCCAAACACGGAUUCGGACUUAUAGCGAGAAAACUUAUGGAAAUUUAGGAAGAACAAAUAAGCCCCAAUUUCUAUGAAAUUCUUGCAGCCUCAGCAUUUUGUUUGAUUUCUUCAAAGACUGAAGGCGACCAAUAAUUUACAAUUUGAUCAAAGAUAGGAAACUAAUUAAAUGCCGACUUUCCAUGUAAAACUGGUAUCAUAUUAUGUUCAGUUGACUCAAAACUUAAAGCAUAGUUCAGUUUUGCUCUGUAUAUUUUGUGGCACAAACCUACUACGUCAUAUUGACGUGUUUUAUUUAAAAUAUUUCUGUUCACAUGAAAAAACUUAAUGGAAUUGCCCAUACUUUAAAUUGUAUAUAGUGUAACACAAAAUAAAGAAAUCAAUAAAAUUUUAAUCUUUUAGUUAAUCAUAAUGCUAAGUUAUUGUCGAGAA